rnacentral:tRNA from 1 species
GAGGGUAUAGCUCAGUGGUAGAGCACAUGCUUAGCAAGCAUGAAGUCCUGAGUUCAACCUCCAGCAUCACCA